rnacentral:rRNA from 2 species
UGACUGGGGCGGUCUCCUCCUAAAGAGUAACGGAGGAGCACGAAGGUUGGCUAAUCCUGGUCGGACAUCAGGAGGUUAGUGCAAUGGCAUAAGCCAGCUUGACUGCGAGCGUGACGGCGCGAGCAGGUGCGAAAGCAGGUCAUAGUGAUCCGGUGGUUCUGAAUGGAAGGGCCAUCGCUCAACGGAUAAAAGGUACUCCGGGGAUAACAGGCUGAUACCGCCCAAGAGUUCAUAUCGACGGCGGUGUUUGGCACCUCGAUGUCGGCUCAUCACAUCCUGGGGCUGAAGUAGGUCCCAAGGGUAUGGCUGUUCGCCAUUUAAAGUGGUACGCGAGCUGGGUUUAGAACGUCGUGAGACAGUUCGGUCCCUAUCUGCCGUGGGCGCUGGAGAACUGAGGGGGGCUGCUCCUAGUACGAGAGGACCGGAGUGGACGCAUCACUGGUGUUCGGGUUGUCAUGCCAAUGGCACUGCCCGGUAGCUAAAUGCGGAAGAGAUAAGUGCUGAAAGCAUCUAAGCACGAAACUUGCCCCGAGAUGAGUUCUCCCUGAGACUUAGAGUCUCCUGAAGGAACGUUGAAGACGACGACGUUGAUAGGCCGGGUGUGUAAGCGCAGCGAUGCGUUGAGCUAACCGGUACUAAUGAACCGUGAGGCUUAACCUU